UCUUCAUCAAAUAAAGAGACAAAUCAACAACAAAUUAGUUCAAAUCCACCACAACAGUGGCCAGAUUAAUUUUACUACUAAUAUAACUAAUUCUUCUAUGUUGUUUGUAGGAUAAAACUUAUAGAUUAACUUUGAGAGACGGUGAUGUAGUUGCUAUUGGUGAAAUUUUUCCGGGAAAACAAGUUCAUGGGAAAGAUUUGGAAAAAGGCAAUGUACGAGUACGCAUAAUUGAAUGUUUGAAUGAAAAUGCUCGUCUUCCUGCCCAUGUUCGUGAUGAUUUAAUCUUCGUAAAAGAUGCAGUCGAAAGCUUUGUUGCAUGGCCGAAACACUUAAUCAUCUUUGGUGAUUCUGAGGCAUUAAAAACUAUGGAGAAAAAUGAACAUUUAUCUCCACACAUGCCAACUCAGAAAGCUUCAACAAGUUCGAUGAAUGUGAAAGACUCUCCUCUUCCAUUUGUUAUGCCCAAAAUCAUCCCAAGGAGCGUCAAAGCUAUAUUGUUAAGUGUUCAAUAUCGCAAAAGUAGAGAUGAGUAUCGUAUUGAAAUGGAUCCAAAUAUUUUUGGGUCUGAUCAAGAUUUGUAUAUUGAACCUAAAGAUAUAGUUGAUUUUGGCACAAAUGUUGAGAUUGGAGCUGGGUGUAUCGCAUUUUAUAUAAGGUAAGAUAAUUUUUUUUCAUAUUUUUUAAUCGCGCACUUAAUAACAUUAUUUAAUUUGGUAUUGUUAUAAUGUUUAGGAUCUUACAUGAAAAGUUGAAAAAUUCAAAAAGAGAGAAAUAUUUUCGUUUUAUUCAUCCAAGUUGGGCUUUUAUAGUGGGAUCCUAUGUGCUGCAAAAUGUAGAAUCAAUAGUAGAUCGAUUAGCAAGCGCAGCGCAGCGCAGAUGCAACUUUCAUUGAUCCCUAUCAAUUUAGGUUUUCAUUGGGUGCUAAUAAUAAUUGAUCCAUCACGUGAGAUGUGCUUCUGGCUCAAUCCACUUGGAGAACUACCAAGUGAUACCAUUAAGAAUUUUAUCGCAAUGUAAGUGAAUAAUAACUGUGAUGUAAUAGUGUUGAUAUUAAUUUGUUUAUCAUUUAGGAUUUUUGACUAUUACAAUGCUUCAAAAAAGA